CAUGCAGUCGACGGUGAAGAGGAGCUUGCUCCUUGGAUCAGUGGCGAACGGGUGAGUAACACGUGAGCAAUCUGCCCUUGACUCUGGGAUAACUGCGGGAAACUGUAGCUAAUACCGGAUAUUACCUUGGAAGGCAUCUUCUGGGGUGGAAAGAAUUUUGGUCAAGGAUGAGCUCGCGGCCUAUCAGCUAGUUGGUGAGGUAAUGGCUYACCAAGGCGACGACGGGUAGCCGGCCUGAGAGGGUGACCGGCCACACUGGGACUGAGACACGGCCCAGACUCCUACGGGAGGCAGCAGUGGGGAAUAUUGCACAAUGGGCGCAAGCCUGAUGCAGCAACGCCGCGUGAGGGACGACGGCCUUCGGGUUGUAAACCUCUUUUAGUAGGGAAGAAGCGACUGGGUUUUCCUGGGAGUGACGGUACCUGCAGAAAAAGCACCGGCUAACUACGUGCCAGCAGCCGCGGUAAUACGUAGGGUGCAAGCGUUGUCCGGAAUUAUUGGGCGUAAAGAGCUCGUAGGCGGUUUGUCGCGUCUGCUGUGAAAACCCGAGGCUCAACCUCGGGCCUGCAGUGGGUACGGGCAGACUAGAGUGCGGUAGGGGAGAUUGGAAUUCCUGGUGUAGCGGUGGAAUGCGCAGAUAUCAGGAGGAACACCAAUGGCGAAGGCAGAUCUCUGGGCCGUAACUGACGCUGAGGAGCGAAAGCAUGGGGAGCGAACAGGAUUAGAUACCCUGGUAGUCCAUGCCGUAAACGUUGGGAACUAGAUGUGGGGACCAUUCCACGGUCUCCGUGUCGCAGCUAACGCAUUAAGUUCCCCGCCUGGGGAGUACGGCCGCAAGGCUAAAACUCAAAGGAAUUGACGGGGGCCCGCACAAGCGGCGGAGCAUGC
rnacentral:rRNA from 1 species